UACGUAGGGUGCAAGCGUUAUCCGGAAUUAUUGGGCGUAAAGAGCUCGUAGGCGGUUUGUCGCGUCUGCUGUGAAAACCCGAGGCUCAACCUCGGGCCUGCAGUGGGUACGGGCAGACUAGAGUGGCGGUAGGGGAGAUUGGAAUUCCUGGUGUAGCGGUGGAAUGCGCAGAUAUCAGGAGGAACACCAAUGGCGAAGGCAGAUCCCUGGGCCGUAACUGACGCUGAGGAGCGAAAGCAUGGGGAGCGAACAGG
rnacentral:rRNA from 1 species